rnacentral:rRNA from 1 species
GACGAACGCUGGCGGCGUGCUUAACACAUGCAAGUCGAACGGAAAGGCCCUGCUUUUGUGGGGUGCUGGGGUGGCGAACGGGUGAGUAACACGAGAGUAACGUGACCUUGACUUUGGGAUAGGUUAAGGAAACUGAGGCUAAUAUAGGACAGGAUCUCCUGCUGCAUGGUGGGGGUGGGAAAGUUUCGGCGGUUGGGGAUGGACUCGCGGCUUUUGAGCUUGUUGGUGGGGUAGUGGCUUACCAAGGCUUUGGCGGGUAGCCGGCCUGAGAGGGUGGACGGCCACAUUGGGACUGCGAUACGGCGCAGACGCCAACAGGAGGCAACAGUGGGGAAUAUUACACAGUGGGCGCGAGCCUGAUGCGGCGGCGCCGCGUGCGGGAUGACGGCCUUCGGGUAGUGAACCGCUUUCGCCUGUGACGAAGCUUGAGUGACGGUAAUGGGUAAAGAAGCACCGGCUAACUACGUG